rnacentral:rRNA from 1 species
GACGAACGCUGGCGGCGUGCUUAACACAUGCAAGUCGAGCGGAAAGGCCCUUCGGGGUACUCGAGCGGCGAACGGGUGAGUAACACGUGAGUAACCUGCCCCAGACUUUGGGAUAACCCUCGGAAACGGGGGCUAAUACCGGAUACGACACAGCUUCGCAUGGGGUCUGUGUGGAAAGUUUUUCGGUUUGGGAUGGGCUCGCGGCCUAUCAGCUUGUUUGUGGGGUGAUGGCCUACCAAGGCGACGACGGGUAGCCGGCCUGAGAGGGCGACCGGCCACACUGGGACUGAGACACGGCCCAGACUCCUACGGGAGGCAGCAGUGGGGAAUAUUGCACAAUGGGCGGAAGCCUGAUGCAGCGACGCCGCGUGAGGGAUGACGGCCUUCGGGUUGUAAACCUCUUUCAGCAGGGACGAAGCGUAAGUGACGGUACCUGCAGAAGAAGCGCCGGCCAACUACGUG